rnacentral:rRNA from 1 species
CGGAGGGUGCGAGCGUUGUCCGGAAUCAGUUGGGCGUAAAGGGCGCGUAGGUGGCUGGGCAAGCGUGCGGUGAAAGCUCGGGGCUCAACCCCGAGUCGGCCGUGCGAACUGCUGGGCUGGAGCACUGUAGAGGCAGGCGGAAUUCCGGGUGUAGCGGUGGAAUGCGUAGAGAUCCGGAAGAACACCGGUGGCGAAGGCGGCCUGCUGGGCAGUAGGGCGGAAGCCCUUUCAAGCUGACACUGAGGCGCGACAGCGUGGGGAGCAAACAGGAUUAGAUACCCUGGUAGUCCACGCCGUAAACGAUGGGCACUAGGCGCUUGGGGGAGCGACCCUCCGAGGGCCGGCGCUAACGCAUUAAGUGCCCCGCCUGGGGAGUACGGCCGCAAGGCUG